rnacentral:misc_RNA from 1 species
CAAGAAGCCGAAAGGCUACUUAAAACCAUCGCGAACUUAUCCAAGUUGCUUCGGCGGCGCGGCUCCCCUCACGGGGGACCGCAGCCCCCGCCUCUCACGAGGCUAAGGGGCAGCCGCCGGAGGUACGAAACUCUGUAUUAUAGUGGUAUCUCUGAGUAUAAAACAAAUAAGUUA